rnacentral:rRNA from 1 species
UGGGUAGUCCGUACGAGCGCACCCUAUCCUUAGUUGCCAGCGAGUAUGUCGGGAACUCUAGGGAGACUGCCGGUGACAAACCGGAGGAAGGUGGGGACGACGUCAAGUCAUCAUGGCCCUUAUGGGCAGGGCUACACACGUGCUACAAUGGCCGGCACAGAGGGCUGCGAAGUCGCAAGGCUGAGCGAAUCUCAGAAAACCGGUCGUAGUCCGGAUUGCAGUCUGCAACUCGACUGCAUGAAGUUGGAAUCGCUAGUAAUCGCGGAUCAGAAUGCCGCGGUGAAUACGUUCCCGGGCCUUGUACACACCGUCCGUCACACCAUGGGAGUGGGCUGUACCAGAAGUAGGUAGUCUAACCUUCGGGGGGACGCUUACCACGGUGUGGUUCAUGACUGGGGUGAAGUCGUAACAAGGUAGCCCUAGGGGAACCUGGGGCUGGAUCACCUCCUU